AAAUGAAUAGACGGGGGCCCGCACAAGCGGUGGAGCAUGUGGUUUAAUUCGAAGCAACGCGAAGAACCUUACCAGGGUUUGACAUUUACCUGACGGGUGUAGAGAUACAUCUUUCUUUCGGGACAGGUAAACAGGUGGUGCAUGGUUGUCGUCAGCUCGUGUCGUGAGAUGUUGGGUUAAGUCCCGCAACGAGCGCAACCCUUAUUCUUAGUUGCCAUCACGUUAAGGUGGGCACUCUAAGGAGACUGUCGGUGACAAACCGGAGGAAGGUGGGGAUGACGUCAAAUCAUCAUGCCCUUUAUGCCCUGGGCUACACACGUGCUACAAUGGCCUGCACAGCGGGUUUGCGAAGUCGCGAGGCUAAGCUAAUCCCUUAAAGCAGGUCUCAGUUCGGAUUGCAGGCUGCAACUCGCCUGCAUGAAGCCGGAAUCGCUAGUAAUCGCGAAUCAGCACGUCGCGGUGAAUACGUUCCCGGGCCUUGUACACACCGCCCGU
rnacentral:rRNA from 1 species